UUAACUCCCUUAACUCGUCCCUAUGUGAUUCCAAGCGAAAAGAGGGUGAAACAAUCAAAGAGAAAUAGAAACAAGAAGCUGGAAUUUCUGAACAACUUUGUUACUCCACAGUUUUGAGGCGACUUUUCGACGUUGAGCGAAAAAGGGAAUUGAUACACACUCCAUAGGAGCUUACACACAUAAAGGCGAAAGGUGAACAUGGAACUACAUAGAGAGCAUGGCUAGCUGUGGAGC